rnacentral:rRNA from 1 species
UACGUAGGGGGCAAGCGUUAUCCGGAUUUACUGGGUGUAAAGGGAGCGUAGACGGAAUUGCAAGUCUGAUGUGAAAAUCCGGGGCCCAACCCCGGAACUGCAUUGGAAACUGUAUUUCUAGAGUGUCGGAGAGGCAAGUGGAAUUCCUGGUGUAGCGGUGAAAUGCGUAGAUAUCAGGAGGAACACCAGUGGCGAAGGCGGCUUGCUGGACGAUGACUGACGUUGAGGCUCAAAAGCGUGGGGAGCAAACAGG